UACAGAGGGUGCGAGCGUUAAUCGGAAUUACUGGGCGUAAAGCGCGCGGAGGCGGCUUUGCAAGCCGGAUGUGAAAUCCCCGGGCUUAACCUGGGAACUGCAUUCGGGACUGCAUUGCUAGAGUAUGGGAGAGGGAAGUGGAAUUUCAGGUGUAGCGGUGAAAUGCGUAGAUAUCUGAAGGAACAUCAGUGGCGAAAGCGACUUCCUGGACCAAUACUGACGCUCAUGUGCGAAAGCGUGGGGAGCAAACAGG
rnacentral:rRNA from 1 species